AGACAUGGAUGAGUGUUCCCAGUCAGAGCCGGUGUGUACGAAGGAGAACCAGAAGUGCUUCAACACUAAAGGCAGCUACGUGUGCAUCUGUGCGGUCGGCUACGAGGAGGAGGACGGCGAGUGUGUGCAAGCGCCACAGCCAGAAAAAGAAGAGGAGACAGAAGCCGAGGAGACGAACACAACUCCUCGUGCAGAACUUUGAUGUCUGGGACCAUUAGAGGCAAAUCAGUAUGAAGCUGAUCGUUCUUAAAAUCGUCGACGAUGUGCACUUAAAGUACCAGCUGCACUUAGAACCAACGGAAGCUGCUACAACAGUAUUUUCCAGCUGUGGACCAUGGAUUACGGGACAGAAAAAAGAGACAUUUGAUGCUCUUUGUACGCUGGUUGUUGUUGCUUUUCUCUGGUGUGCACAAACUACCACUUGUCUUUAUUUGUUGUAUGGUUUUAAAUUUGAAAGCGUUUCAAUAAAGGUGAAUACAUUUGAAUUUAGGAUAAACCCA